GCAGCAGCCGCGGUAAAACGAAGGGUGCAAGCGUUACUCGGAAUUACUGGGCGUAAAGCGUGCGUAGGUGGUGGUUUAAGUCCGUUGUGAAAGCCCUGGGCUCAACCUGGGAAUUGCAGUGGAUACUGGGUCACUAGAGUGUGGUAGAGGAUAGUGGAAUUUCCGGUGUAGCAGUGAAAUGCGUAGAGAUCGGAAGGAACGUCUGUGGCGAAGGCGACUAUCUGGGCCAACACUGACACUGAGGCACGAAAGCGUGGGGAGCAAACAGGAUUAGAUACCCCAGUAGUCCCUGUCUCUUAUAC
rnacentral:rRNA from 1 species